CACAACGAUAUGAUAAAUGAUUGAGAAACAUAUCAGACUAUUCAAAACAACAUAAGAAGUUAGAUGACAGUAGAGCAAUGCCUUCAAAACUAAGGGGAAAAAAGAUCUGUAACCCAGAAUCCAGCAUGAAAUUAUCAAUAAAAAAUAAAGAUGAAAUAAACAUAUUUCCAGAUAUGUAAAGUCAAAACAUUACCUCUAUGACCUCUUUCUUAGGAAUCUACUAGAAGAGAUGGUGCACACAGUAAAUAAAUAAAGGAUGGGGUGUCAAAAAAUGGAAAAGAAAAAGUACAAGAAAUAAGGGAUCUAGUAUAGAAGAAAGCUACACAGCGUUCCUGGAAUGAUGGUUUAGUGAAGUGCCAGGAUGUGAGGAAUCUGCAGGAUAACAGGCAACAGACUGAGAGAAUAAUGCAUCCAGACUGGAGCAAAAGGACCAAGGGAUCUGGAAGGGAUAGCUUUUCAAGAAAAAAAAAAAAUAGAAUUGACAGUUUGCCUAAUGCAUUUGACAUCAUUUUUAAAAAUGCAAGAUUGAUUUUAUAGUGUUUCUGGAAAGUUCAGGCAGAACUAAUUGAUAGGCAUACAAAUAACUAUGAAAACCACCAAACAGGAAUUCUUACCAAAAAAAUAAGAAAGGUUAUAUAAGCAAGGAAAAAAUCAUCAUAUGCAACAUGGUUCAAUGGCUAUAAUAAUAUAAACACUGAAUAUUGACCCAUCUAAAAACUGUGGGGAAAAAAAACUACAUAGGAAAGAGAUGGAGGGGAAAUUAGAACAUAUAUAUUUUUGGUAAAGGAGAUACAUGACAGAGCUGUAGCCUUACAUUCUCCAGUAAUAAAUAAAUAGAUAAUAUCUAACACUAAAAAAGAAUCCAGAAAUGGCAGCAUAAGUUUGUUUACUGAAGAAUACCAUAGGAAAAAAAAAAAAGAGUUGAAAGCAAUUGCUACUAGGGAACAGGAUUCAGAAGUAGAAAAGGAAGAUGAGAGAAAUGUCAUUUCUUUUAGAAACUUACAGCAAUAUUUGACUUUAUGUAUAUGAAUUACUUUGAAGAAUAGAAAUAAUAUUACACAUGAAUAAACUCAAAGCAAAAACAAAACAGAACAAAAUUAAGAAAGAAACACAGGCCAGGCAUGCUGGCCCAUGCCAGUAAUUCUAGUCCUUUGGAAGGCCAAGGCAGGAGGCUCAUCUGAGACUAGGAAUCACCAGCCUGGGUGACACAGCAAGACUCUGUCUCUUAAAAAAAAAAAA
rnacentral:lncRNA from 1 species